UAAGUGAUGAAAUGAAACAUAGCCUUGCAUCUAUUGGUUUGGUUUAAAUAUGUUUUUACGGUUUUACAGAUUGCAAGACCACAAAAUACAGUCUCAGAAGAAAAUUAAACAGUCACUUUAACUUGCAAAGAUGAGCACAUGUUUUGAUCUUGAUCUUGGUUUUGUUUUUCCUCAGGCAACUGGAACUUCAGCCAUUUCCUGCUCCACAGCUGCCACUUCGACGGGAUAGUAGUGGUAGUGGAGUUCUCCAACAUCGUCACCUGAUA
rnacentral:misc_RNA from 1 species